rnacentral:lncRNA from 1 species
UAUUAUUGUAUGUACAACCUCUUUGGUUAGGUAUGUACAUAGCCGAAAAAUUGAUAGAAGUGUGUUAAAAAAAAAAAGACAAUAAGGUGUAAUGACAGUUGUUGUUGAAAAAAGCUUGUUACGUGUGAAUUUAUAAAACUAAAUAUAUAAUUGGACUCUCUUGAAGAC